rnacentral:rRNA from 1 species
CGAAAGCCUGACGGAGCAACGCCGCGUGAGGGAUGGAGGCCUUUGGGCUGUAAACCUCUUUUCUCAAGGAAGAAGAUCUGACGGUACUUGAGGAAUAAGCCACGGCUAAUUCCGUGCCAGCAGCCGCGGUAAUACGGGAGUGGCAAGCGUUAUCCGGAAUUAUUGGGCGUAAAGCGUCCGCAGGCGGCCGUUUAAGUCUGUUGUUAAAUCGUGGAGCUCAACUCCAUCACGGCAAUGGAAACUGUUCGGCUUGAGUAUGGUAGGGGCAGAGGGAAUUUCCGGUGUAGCGGUGAAAUGCGUAGAUAUCGGGAAGAACACCAGUGGCGAAAGCGCUCUGCUGGGCCAUUAUUGACGCUCAUGGACGAAAGCCAGGGGAGCGAAAGGGAUUAGAUACCCCUGUAGUCCUGGCCGUAAACGAUGAACACUAGAUGUUGGGGGAAUCGACCCCCUCGGUGUCGUAGCUAACGCGUUAAGUGUUCCGCCUGGGGAGUACGCACGCAAGUGUGAAACUCAAAGGAAUUGACGGGGGCCCGCACAAGCGGUGGAGUAUGUGGUUUAAUUCGAUGCAACGCGAAGAACCUUACCAAGGCUUGACAUCCUGCGAAUCUCUAAGAAAUUAGAGAGUGCCUUCGGGAACGCAGUGACAGGUGGUGCAUGGCUGUCGUCAGCUCGUGUCGUGAGAUGUUGGGUUAAGUCCCGCAACGAGCGCAACCCACGUUUUUAGUUGCCAGCAUUCAGUUGGGCACUCUAGAAAGACUGCCGGUGACAAACCGGAGGAAGGUGUGGACGACGUCAAGUCAUCAUGCCCCUUACGCCUUGGGCUACACACGUACUACAAUGCUGUGGACAAAGAGUAGCGAUCUUGCGAAAGUUAGCUAAUCUCAUAAACCGUGGCUCAGUUCAGAUCGUAGGCUGCAACUCGCCUACGUGAAGGAGGAAUCGCUAGUAAUCGCAGGUCAGCAUACUGCGGUGAAUACGUUCCCGGGCCUUGUACACACCGCCCGUCACACCAUGGAAGUUGGCCAUGCCCGAAGUCGUUACUCUAACCUUUUGGAAGAGGGCGCCGAAGGCAGGGCUAAUGACUGGGGUGAAGUCGUAACAAGGUAGCCGUAGCGGAAGCUGCGGCUGGAUCACCUCCUAA